UACGGAGGGUGCGAGCGUUAAUCGGAAUUACUGGGCGUAAAGCGCACGUAGGCGGUCAGGCAAGUCGGGUGUGAAAGCCCUGGGCUCAACCUGGGAAUUGCAUUCGAAACUAUCUGACUCGAGUAUGGGAGAGGGAAGCGGAAUUUCCGGUGUAGCGGUGAAAUGCGUAGAUAUCGGAAGGAACACCAGUGGCGAAGGCGGCUUCCUGGACUAAUACUGACGCUGAGGC
rnacentral:rRNA from 1 species